rnacentral:piRNA from 1 species
UGAUAGAGGAAAUUUCUUAAUUGAGGUUC